CAAUGAGCCAGGAGUCUCGCUGUGGGAGUCCAGCGAGGAGAGACCUGCGAGGAGAGGCUGUUGGAGAAAUUCCGAACAUAUCAGCGCUCUGGAAAAUGCCAACUACUAGACAGAUGCCGUGUCUGUGACUCCAGUCGAGCUGACAGUCUGUGAUUGGGCUCUUGGCAGUUGCAGUGGGAGUGGCAGACUCGCUGGCACCCGAGCGAGCUCUGGACGAAUGUGAUGUGAAUUUUUGCAGAAGGAAAUCAAGAGAAUCAGCUGCAAGACAGACACAGAUAUGCCUCGAACUUCAACAGAGCCAGCUCAUACGCCACAGAUACCUGACUCCAAUGUCCAGAGCCGAUUCCUCCUUAAACUGGACACAGUCAUCGAAAAUCAGACAGUUGUUGCACCUUCUGCACACGCUAGUUAACAGGAAUGCAGAGGACGAGGAAUUUGUGGAUGUUCUCCCUACCCCACUCACAUUGACACAGGAAUUUGAAGACCUUUGCCAGAAAAUUAAAUCUGAUGACAAGUUUAAAAAACAAAUGAUAUCCUAUCUGACUUCUGUGGGUGGCAAAAUGUUGGGGACAGUGUUCGCCGAAUGAUGAGGAAGGUCGGCACCAAUGACCUUUGGUCUAAUUAUAGCCUCAAAGGGAAAAGGGGGAAGAAGCCACUACUUGAGCUACCACUUAUUAUGGUAUUGACUAACGCGUAUCGACCUGGGAGCUGAAGCUACGGAGCCAGCACUAGUAGAGGGGAUGAGUCUUUGUAAAUAGAAAAUAAUCGGGACAGUCCUUGUAAAUAGAUCACUGUGUGGAGAUUGACUUUCUCCUGUACCACCACUCACAUCUUGACAGGUGUAUAAUGUGAUAUUAACCAUUAUUUACCCAUAUGUUGAAUUGUAGGUCUGAUAAAAUAUAUUACUUAAUUCCUAAAUGUUUGAAUAUAUUUUGAAUCCUAAUUCCAACUGAAUAUAUGGUUUCUAUUUUUCUAAAAACAAACCUAGUAUAAUCACAUUUCACCUGUGUUAGCAGCCCCACAUUGGCUUCCUGUACAGUUCAGGAUUGAUUUUCAGUUACAGGGCCCCAAAACUGCCUAAUUCUGUAUGGGAAGCACCAACUGUUGCAGCUUUUAAAA